rnacentral:rRNA from 1 species
GACAGAGGUGCCGAGCGUUAGGCGGAAUCACUGGGCUUAAAGCGUGUGUAGGCGGGCCGUUAAGUACCUUGUGAAAUCCCCCGGCUCAACCGGGGAACUGCUGGGUAUACUGGCGGCCUUGAGCGCCUAGGGGCAGAUGGAACAGACGGUGGAGCGGUGAAAUGCGUAGAUAUCGUCUGGAACGCCAAAGGUGAAAACAGUCUGCUGGGGCUUGCUGACGCUGAGACACGAAAGCCAGGGGAGCGAACGGG